AUUGAACGCUGGCGGCAUGCCUUACACAUGCAAGUCGAACGGUAACAGGUCUUCGGAUGCUGGCGAGUGGCGAACGGGUGAGUAAUACAUCGGAACGUGCCCGAUCGUGGGGGAUAACGAGGCGAAAGCUUUGCUAAUACCGCAUACGGUCUACGGAUGAAAGCGGGGGAUCUUCGGACCUCGCGCGGACGGAGCGGCCGAUGGCAGAUUAGGUAGUUGGUGGGAUAAAAGCUUACCAAGCCGACGAUCUGUAGCUGGUCUGAGAGGAUGAUCAGCCACACUGGGACUGAGACACGGCCCAGACUCCUACGGGAGGCAGCAGUGGGGAAUUUUGGACAAUGGGCGAAAGCCUGAUCCAGCCAUGCCGCGUGCAGGAUGAAGGCCUUCGGGUUGUAAACUGCUUUUGUACGGAACGAAAAGCCUCUUUCUAAUAAAGAGGGGUCAUGACGGUACCGUAAGAAUAAGCACCGGCUAACUACGUGCCAGCAGCCGCCGUAA
rnacentral:rRNA from 1 species